UAUACUUUUUGAAUUUUAGGCCCAGGCUGGAUCUGGAAAUAGUCCAUCUUUGCUGGCUAACAUCCAGUUAACAGAAGAAAAUCCAUAUCCAGUACCAUCAUUACCAAGGGAACAGCAGUCAACUCCAAGUUAUGUUGAAGACCUGCUAAAUGAAAAUGUUCCAGUUGUAGAGGCAUCAGUAAGCCCUUUACCGAUGGUCCAGUCUCUAUCCUUCACAUCACCCACAGUUGAAGGUCCUGCAAGUCCUCCCCCAACUCCUUCAGGCUCAGGCACCCACCCACAACAUCGCCUAAGAAAUAUUCGUCGCCGGUUGAUUAGAUCCCCCCAGACCAAUACCACAACACCACAACCUUGCCAUAGUCGUCGUACUCAUGCAUCAGCACCAUCUUAACGGCGAUCACGAUUCACGAGUAUUUUAGAGCGGUUUUUGGCGAUAGAAGAACAACAACUUGAAAUAAAUCGCCGAAAUUCAGAGCUUUUUCAAACUUUUGUUAAUAAAAUUGGAGAAGGGUUUCAAUUAUUAGCAGAAAUUUUAAAAAAAUAAUUAUUUAUAUUUAUAGAAUUAUAAUGUUUAUAUUAAA